GGGGGCGAACAGGCUUCGACGGGGAUAUAGAGUCAGGAGUAGCCGGUCGUGGUUUCGCUUGGUACCACGUAAAAUAGCUGAGCACUUAAAGUUAAACGCAGACGAAAAUUACGCUUUAGCUGCCUAAUAAAAGCAGCCGCUUCCUCUAGCUGUCCCACCUGUUAGAGUGUAAGUGUCAUUAAUCUGUGGGGAACUUCUUUAGGGUUUCUCCGACCUAGAGUAGAAUAAUUGGGGAUAGUCGAGUAUGAAGCCCGUUGUUAGGCGUCAUACAAGGCGAAAUUUAAAAUAACAACUGUAUCGGGAGAAGCUCUUGGCGAAGUAUUCUCGGACGUGGGUUCGAUUCCCACCGCCUCCACCA
rnacentral:tmRNA from 1 species